UACGGAGGAUGCGAGCGUUAUCCGGAUUUAUUGGGUUUAAAGGGUGCGCAGGCGGGAGAUUAAGUCGGCGGUGAAAUUUUGCAGCUCAACUGUAAAAGUGCCUUCGAAACUGGUUUCCUUGAGUGUGGAUGAAGUAGGCGGAAUUUGUGGUGUAGCGGUGAAAUGCUUAGAUAUCACGAGGAACUCCGAUUGCGCAGGCAGCUUACUAAACCACUACUGACGCUCAUGCACGAAGGCGUGGGGAUCAAACAGGAUUAGAUACCCCUGUA
rnacentral:rRNA from 1 species